AAUUGAAUUAUUUUCUUACAAAUAAUUUAUUCUAAAGAAAGCCUUAAAGAAAUAUAGUAACCCACUAAAGAAAAUGAAAAUGGGAAUAAGUGAAAAGAGAAUGAGGAAAAAGAGAAGGAUAAAUUCUGAAAAUAAACUAUCAAAUAGGUUUUAUAUACUCAAUAGAAAGGAAGUACAUAGAAUUCUAAUGUAGAUUAAAUAGAAUUCAGAAAAUAAUAA
rnacentral:misc_RNA from 1 species